UCGGGCCGAGAUUACUUAGUUUAAUAGGGCGCCAACAAGAAAUUGAGGAGAAAGCCUGUUCUUAAUGUUCGAAUAUCAGCAUGUGACAGUGAUGUAGAUUCAUAAGCAAUUCUAAUGCAACAACGUUUGUAACGUUCAUUUUGAUUGGAUAACGUCACUUUCUUACAUGGCAUCAAUUGACAAUUGAUGCUAUGGGACGUACGCGCAAGCGCAGACGGCAUAUUGCAGAUUUUAAAU
rnacentral:lncRNA from 1 species